rnacentral:rRNA from 1 species
GUACGUAGGGUGCGAGCGUUGUCCGGAAUUAUUGGGCGUAAAGGGCUCGUAGGCGGUUUGUCGCGUCGGGAGUGAAAACCCCAGGGGCUUUAACUCUGGGCUUGCUUCGAUACGGGCAGGCUAGAGUGUGGUAGGGGGAGACGUGGAAUUCCUGGUGUAGCGGGUGAAAUGCGUAGAUAAUCAGGAGGAACACCGGUGGCGAAGGCGGGCCCUCCUGGGACGGUGAACUGACGCUGAGACGCGAAAGCGUGGGGAGCAACAGGAUAGAGUACCGUUGUAAGUCC